rnacentral:rRNA from 1 species
UUAAGCGACUAAGCGUACACGGUGGAUGCCCUGGCAGUCAGAGGCGAUGAAGGACGUGCUAAUCUGCGAAAAGCGUCGGUAAGGUGAUAUGAACCGUUAUAACCGGCGAUGUCCGAAUGGGGAAACCCAGUGCAAUUCGUUGCACUAUCGUUAACUGAAUACAUAGGUUAACGAGGCGAACCGGGGGAACUGAAACAUCUAAGUACCCCGAGGAAAAGAAAUCAACCGAGAUUCCCCCAGUAGCGGCGAGCGAACGGGGAGCAGCCCAGAGUCUGAAUCAGCUUGUGUGUUAGUGGAACGGUCUGGAAAGUCCGACGGUACAGGGUGAUAGUCCCGUACACCAAAAUGCACAGGCUGUGAACUCGAAGAGUAGGGCGGGACACGUGGUAUCCUGUCUGAAUAUGGGGGGACCAUCCUCCAAGGCUAAAUACUCCUGACUGACCGAUAGUGAACCAGUACCGUGAGGGAAAGGCGAAAAGAACCCCGGCGAGGGGAGUGAAAAAGAACCUGAAACCGUGUACGUACAAGCAGUGGGAGCACCUUCGGGUGUGACUGCGUACCUUUUGUAUAAUGGGUCAGCGACUUAUAUUCUGUAGCAAGGUUAACCGUAUAGGGGAGCCGCAGGGAAACCGAGUCUUAACUGGGCGUUAAGUUGCAGGGUAUAGACCCGAAACCCGGUGAUCUAGCCAUGGGCAGGUUGAAGGUUGGGUAACACUAACUGGAGGACCGAACCGACUAAUGUUGAAAAAUUAGCGGAUGACUUGUGGCUGGGGGUGAAAGGCCAAUCAAACCGGGAGAUAGCUGGUUCUCCCCGAAAGCUAUUUAGGUAGCGCCUCGUGAACUCAUCUUCGGGGGUAGAGCACUGUUUCGGCUAGGGGGUCAUCCCGACUUACCAACCCGAUGCAAACUACGAAUACCGAAGAAUGUUAUCACGGGAGACACACGGCGGGUGCUAACGUCCGUCGUGAAGAGGGAAACAACCCAGACCGCCAGCUAAGGUCCCAAAGUCAUGGUUAAGUGGGAAACGAUGUGGGAAGGCACAGACAGCCAGGAUGUUGGCUUAGAAGCAGCCAUCAUUUAAAGAAAGCGUAAUAGCUCACUGGUCGAGUCGGCCUGCGCGGAAGAUGUAACGGGGCUAAACCAUGCACCGAAGCUGCGGCAGCGACACUAUGUGUUGUUGGGUAGGGGAGCGUUCUGUAAGCCUGCGAAGGUGUGCUGUGAGGCAUGCUGGAGGUAUCAGAAGUGCGAAUGCUGACAUAAGUAACGAUAAAGCGGGUGAAAAGCCCGCUCGCCGGAAGACCAAGGGUUCCUGUCCAACGUUAAUCGGGGCAGGGUGAGUCGACCCCUAAGGCGAGGCCGAAAGGCGUAGUCGAUGGGAAACAGGUUAAUAUUCCUGUACUUGGUGUUACUGCGAAGGGGGGACGGAGAAGGCUAUGUUAGCCGGGCGACGGUUGUCCCGGUUUAAGCAUGUAGGCUGAUUGUCCAGGCAAAUCCGGAUAAUCAAGGCUGAGGUGUGAUGACGAGGCACUACGGUGCUGAAGUAACAAAUGCCCUGCUUCCAGGAAAAGCCUCUAAGCAUCAGGUAACAUUAAAUCGUACCCCAAACCGACACAGGUGGUCAGGUAGAGAAUACCAAGGCGCUUGAGAGAACUCGGGUGAAGGAACUAGGCAAAAUGGUGCCGUAACUUCGGGAGAAGGCACGCUGGUGUGUAGGUGAAGCCCCUGCGGGUGGAGCUGAGACCAGUCGAAGAUACCAGCUGGCUGCAACUGUUUAUUAAAAACACAGCACUGUGCAAACACGAAAGUGGACGUAUACGGUGUGACGCCUGCCCGGUGCCGGAAGGUUAAUUGAUGGGGUUAUCCGUAAGGAGAAGCUCUUGAUCGAAGCCCCGGUAAACGGCGGCCGUAACUAUAACGGUCCUAAGGUAGCGAAAUUCCUUGUCGGGUAAGUUCCGACCUGCACGAAUGGCGUAAUGAUGGCCAGGCUGUCUCCACCCGAGACUCAGUGAAAUUGAACUCGCUGUGAAGAUGCAGUGUACCCGCGGCAAGACGGAAAGACCCCGUGAACCUUUACUAUAGCUUGACACUGAACAUUGAGCCUUGAUGUGUAGGAUAGGUGGGAGGCUUUGAAGCGUGGACGCCAGUCUGCGUGGAGCCAACCUUGAAAUACCACCCUUUAAUGUUUGAUGUUCUAACGUUGGCCCCUUACCGGGGUUGCGGACAGUGUCUGGUGGGUAGUUUGACUGGGGCGGUCUCCUCCCAAAGCGUAACGGAGGAGCACGAAGGUUAGCUAAUCCUGGUCGGACAUCAGGAGGUUAGUGCAAUGGCAUAAGCUAGCUUGACUGCGAGCGUGACGGCGCGAGCAGGUGCGAAAGCAGGUCAUAGUGAUCCGGUGGUUCUGAAUGGAAGGGCCAUCGCUCAACGGAUAAAAGGUACUCCGGGGAUAACAGGCUGAUACCGCCCAAGAGUUCAUAUCGACGGCGGUGUUUGGCACCUCGAUGUCGGCUCAUCACAUCCUGGGGCUGAAGUAGGUCCCAAGGGUAUGGCUGUUCGCCAUUUAAAGUGGUACGCGAGCUGGGUUUAGAACGUCGUGAGACAGUUCGGUCCCUAUCUGCCGUGGGCGCUGGAGAAUUGAGGGGGGCUGCUCCUAGUACGAGAGGACCGGAGUGGACGCAUCACUGGUGUUCGGGUUGUCAUGCCAAUGGCACUGCCCGGUAGCUAAAUGCGGAAGAGAUAAGUGCUGAAAGCAUCUAAGCACGAAACUUGCCCCGAGAUGAGUUCUCCCUGAGACUUUAAGUCUCCUGAAGGAACGUUAAAGACGAUGACGUUGAUAGGCCGGGUGUGUAAGCGCAGCGAUGCGUUGAGCUAACCGGUACUAAUGAACCGUGAGGCUUAACCUU